UGCAUUUUCAAAAAGCGGAGGAAAAGAAACUAACAAGGAUUCCCCUAGUAACGGCGAGUGAAGCGGGAAGAGCUCAAAUUUGAAAUCUGGUAGCCUUCGGUUGCCCGAGUUGUAAUCUAGAGAAGUGUUUUCCGUGCCGGCCCAUGUACAAGUCCCUUGGAACAGGGCGUCAUAGAGGGUGAGAAUCCCGUCCUUGACAUGGACCCCCGGUGCUUUGUGAUACACUUUCAACGAGUCGAGUUGUUUGGGAAUGCAGCUCAAAAUGGGUGGUGAAUUCCAUCUAAAGCUAAAUAUUGGCGAGAGACCGAUAGCGAACAAGUACCGUGAGGGAAAGAUGAAAAGCACUUUGGAAAGAGAGUUAAACAGUACGUGAAAUUGUUGAAAGGGAAACGAUUGAAGUCAGUCAUGCUCUUUGGUAUUUAUAUCAUUGAGUGGGGUCAACAUCAGUUUUGAGCGAUGGAUAAAGGCACUAGGAAGGUAGCACUCUCGGGUGAACUUAUAGCCUAGCGUCAUAUACAUUGUUUGGGACUGAGGAACGCAGCAUGCCUUUAUGGCCGGGAUUCGUCCACGUACAUGCUUAGGAUGUUGACAUAAUGGCUUUAAACGACCCGUCUUGAA
rnacentral:rRNA from 1 species